rnacentral:lncRNA from 1 species
AAAUGGUGGAAUUUGCCAGCGGUGUGAAAGGAAUAGCCUUGAAUCUUGAGAAUGAGAAUGUAGGUAUUGUUGUCUUUGGUAGUGAUACCGCUAUUAAAGCUUUCAACACUUAUUUGAUUCUUCUCUUGAUUAUUUGCUGCUACUACUUUCACAAGUCUACGGGUCGGGUACGACUUUUAAAUAUCCUAGAAAAAUAGGUUUGGAUAUGCAAGUUUCGUGCCAGCCAGUCCAUGACCCUCCCUGGAACACCGGGUAUCUGUAUUCACCGAAUAUAACACGUGGCAUGCUGAUCCGCGAUUACUAGCGAUUUCAACUUCAUGUUCCCGAGAAAAAAAAUAUAUAUGUACAAGUAUACGAUAAAGUCAAAAAGAAGAUGGAUAAGAAAAAAAUCACAAUGGAAUGUUGUGACCGGUAAAAAAGUAUCUAGAAAAGCUAAAACGAAUAAUAAUUUGGAAUGGAGGAAGUAGAUCUUAUUAUAUAUCUAAACAUAGACUAUAUACCUGGAUUCAACAUGGUCGCCAACAGAACUCGUCUAAAAUCCAAAGGGGAAAGCUAUAUCAUACUUGUGCAUUUUUACUACCUCCUACACUCGAAUUUUGCUAGCCAAUGAUUGAGCGCCACAACAUCGUCAUCUUCAGCUCCAGUGAGACUCCAGCGGGUUAUAGUUAGGGUUCGGGCUUGGGGUGGGGGUUGGGAGUUACCUGUGACCUCCGGGCUUAGAGGGAUUUGGGGUGGCUCGCCAGUCGGCGGGGGUGGGGGUGGGGUGGGGGAGCGGCGAGGGCGCUGCCGGAGCGGGGCAGUGGGAGACCCCCGGUGGGUGGUGGCGGCGGCAGGGAAGUGUCGGCCGUGGUCGUGGGUGACGGCAGAGGCGGUGAUGCGCCGUUGGAGCCGAGCGGGAAGCCGAUGGCGGCGGGGGAGCUCGGCCGGAAUUGAUGAAGAGGAUGCCGGGGAAGAAGCCACGCGAACGGAGGGAGGAGGUGGAGGGCGCUAGGGCGGUGGCUCCGACGGUGCCAGGGUCGCGACGGCGAGGUCGAGUGGCGUGUCGAGGGCGUCGGGGAUGCCGAGUGAUGGUGGAUGGAUAGGGUAAACGGUGUGGUGAAGAGAUGAGGAGGUGGGGGAGUCAAUCACAGACGUUGGUUUUUUGAUCCGAUGGAUCAGGAAUCGAGUGUGGCCAGGUGUGUGCUACACGCGGCUACCGUAUAGACAGUCCCAAUCCAAAAUCCACCAUUCCACACGCAUCCAGUAGUCCCGACGGAAUCCCGACCGCGUAGCACGGCGGCUGCUCCCGCUCGCGAGCCCAGCGCACUGCCCACGCGGGCACGCCUCGUCGAAGUGUUUGAGGCGUUAGAGGUCAGGGUCGGCCGGCCUCUUCCCGGCACAUUCCCACGGCCCAAACCAAACACCGACCCGCACCGCACGUCUCCUCCCCUCUCCGCAACUCAACCCUCCCUUCCCCUCCCCUCCUCCUCCACGCCGACCACUCCCCUCCUCAUCGCCGCCAGCGCUCACUCUCCCCACGACCGCAUCGAUCCAUAGCUCGCGCUAGGUUAUCCGCCCGCCGGCCUCCCAGGGCUCCACCGGCCGGGCUCGAUUCGCGCCGGGGGCGGCUGCUCCGUUCUCUGAGCCACCCGUCGCCGGCCCGCUGCUGCCGGGGUGCUCUGCGGCUGGCUGCCGCUGGUGUAGGGGUCUAGGGUUUUGUCUCCGCCAGGCGGAGGGCGCAUUGGUUGGCGCGCGCAUGGGGAUGGUGCCCAACGGGCUCCUGCCGAAUGCGUCCGCCGGGGUGACCCGGCGGCUCGACCCCGAGCGCUGGGCGGUCGCGGAGGGCCGCACUGCGGAGCUGAUCGCCCGUAUCCAGCCCAACGCGCACUCUGAGGGCCGGCGGCUGGCCGUGUACCACUACGUGCAGCGGCUCAUCAUGAGCUGCCUCUCGUGCCAGGUACAAUACCUGCUUACCAAGUGACCCGAUUGCUCCGGCAGGUAGUAAUAGGGAUUAGCUUUUGUCUGAAGAACGCUCUUGUAUAUGGCUGUGAGGACUGCGCUGUGUGGAUGGAUAGAUGAAACUGCUACUGAAGAACUGACUAGAGUAACGAUUGCUUAACAAAGAGGGCAAUAGACCACAACCUAUGCUUUACUUUCUGUUUUUCAAAUGUUUGCCUGACCAACCGAAGCUGAUUCUGGAGAUAGAGCUCAGUUGAGAUGGUGGCUUGUGGUUGCAGAAGAACAGGAGGGACUGAUCACCUAACACCCAUGCUUCCGGAUCUGAUAUUUGACGAUCUGUUUAGAAGCAUUAGGUUUUCACACAUUGGGAUAACUGGCAAAAAUUAAUCUGUGCAUUGGGGGAAGAGUAUGAAUUGAGAUCCUGGACAGCGCGUAAUCGAACUGUAUUUCCCUCUUUGUAUUGCACCUGUGACACGGGGUGUUGCACACACCCAGUACCCUGUUAUUGGAGUUUUGUGGAAUCACAGAGCUGACCUAUGCCAAUAAUACGUUAUGAAGAACUGCAUGUCUUAG